GAAAAAACGGAAGUGACAGUAGGCGUAGAAAAAGCCCCGGCUAACUACGUGCCAACAGCCGCGGUAAUAUGUAGGGUGCCAGCGUAGUCCUGGAAUAUGUUGGGCGUAAAGAGCUCGAAGGACGGUUUGUAGAGUCGAAUGUGAAUAGCCCACAGCUCAACUGUGAGCGUGCACUCGAUACGGGCAGACUUGAGUUCUGUAGAGGACACUGGAAUUCCUGGUGUAGCGGUGGAAUGCGCAGAUAUCAGAAGGAACACCAGUGGCGAAGGCGGGUCUCUGGCCUGAUACUGACGCUGAGGAGCGAAAGCGUGGGGAGCGAACAGGAUUAGAUACCCUGGUAGUCCACGCCGUAAACGAUGGCAGCUAGGUGUGGGGGAUUUCGACGUCCUCCGUGCCGUAGCUAACGCAUUAAGCGCCCCGCCUGGGGAGUACGCCGGCAAGGCUAAAAUUCAAAGGAAUUGACGGGGGCCCGCACAAGCGGCGGAGCAUGUGGAUUAAUUCGAUGCAAGGCGAAGAACCUUACCUGGGUUUGACAUGCACUGGAUCGCCUCAGAGAUGGGGUUUCCGUAAGGUCAGUGUGCAGGUGGUGCAUGGCGGUCGUCAGCUCGUGUCGUGAGAUGUUGGGUUAAGUCUCGCAACGAGCGCAACCCCUGUCUCAUGUAGCCAGCACCUAAUGGUGGGGACUCUUGGGAGACUGCCGGGCUGAAAUCGGAGGAAGGUGGGGAUGAGGUCAAGAAAUCAUGCGCCCUAAGUAAAGCGGUUCACACAGGUUACAAUGCCGGGUACAGAGGGGUGUGAAAUGGCAAGCUGGAGAGAAUCUCUCAAAACCGGUCUCAGUUUGGAUCGGGCUGUGCAACAACGGAUCGCCCGUGA
rnacentral:rRNA from 1 species